GCCAGAGGUGCCAAGCGUUAGGCGGAAUCACUGGGCUUAAAGCGUGUGUAGGCGGGCGACCAAGUACCUUGUGAAAUCCCACGGCUCAACCGUGGAACUGCUGGGUAUACUGGUUGUCUUGAGCCAGCUAGGGGCGAGCGGAACAGACGGUGGAGCGGUGAAAUGCGUAGAUAUCGUCUGGAACGCCGAAGGUGAAAACAGCUCGCUGGGGCUGCGCUGACGCUGAGACACGAAAGCCAGGGGAGCGAACGGG
rnacentral:rRNA from 1 species